rnacentral:lncRNA from 1 species
UUUUAAACAACGAAAUUUCCCCAAAAUUUUCUAAGUUAAAAAAGGAGGAAACAUACAUGCGAGCAGAAAAUGUAAACAUACAUGCGAGCAGAUAUAGACGAGAAGUUAUAAACAAGCAUAGAUAAAUAAAACGGGCACCUGCCCGGAAUUGUCAUAAAAAUCAUACGGGGACAAAAGCCCACUUGUUUCAAUAUUACAAACCAUGGCUCAAAGGCCCCAAAAUUCAAAAAGACAAAAUAAAAUUACAAUAGAAAGGCCGGGGACAUCUACUCCUCGCACCUAUCCUCCUGCUCGUGCCCGUCGCCUUGCUCGUCUUCUUGACCCUCCUCGAAUGCCACGUCAGCAUCUUCCUCCUCUUCAUCAGAGUCGGCCAGGCCAGCCGGGAUAACAAUCUGGCCAUCCUUGACCUGCCCGUUCACAUGCAUUCCCCGGGUCACCAGCUCCACGU